rnacentral:lncRNA from 1 species
CUGUUUGGGAGGCUCUUAACAAUAAUAAUGACGUGGCUGCUGAAGUGGCUUCCCCGGCAUUACCUGGGUUUGGUCGGAGUCCGAUGGUUGUUCGGCAGCUGAGAGUCACUGACUCCCCGUUUCCAGUGGCCGGAGGUGGCGAUGAGGACUGCCAUGUGGAUAAAGCGGCAGAGGAAUUUAUAAAUCGGUUUUACAAGGAAUUGCGGUUGCAGAAGACAGCGGAGUAAAAAGGAUUUUUUCAAAACAAAAAAAAUCAAUUGUCGACUGGCUGGCGGCCACCUUGCCUCCGAUGGGUUGAAAAUUGACGAUGUUAAAUUUUGUCUAAUAUUUGUGUUUUUUUCUUAAACAAUAUUAAGAACAUGUAAUAUUUGUGUUAAUAUUAUAAUAAGAGAAAUUUCCCUUAAUUUUUAGUAUAGUUUUUUUUAUCUUUCCAUCUUUCUACUAAAAUAUAUAUAUAUAUAUAUAUUAAAAAAACGAGCUUAAUUCCAUGAAUUUUGAACUCAAAAUAUAAAGUGAUCUUUAAGAGAACUGUUGCUCUUCAACUUGAUGAUAUGGAUUGCAAAUUAAUGUGUAACAUUUUGAAUUACAUUACCUGCAUGCUUGACUUGCUAUAAAGCUAGAUUUUGUGUUUUAUAAUCUUGUGUUUUAUAUAGUUUUAAAACUUUUAAUUUAAUCCAAAUUUAGUUUAAAGUUUCUUUUAAAUGGGUUUCAAAGAAAUCUUCUUUAAUUUUAGAACUUUCUUCAAACCUUCACAAAUUCAAUUCAAAAUGAGUAGUGUUAAAUUCAUGGAGCAUAUGCAAAAAUACAUUAAAGUAUUAAAAAAAUGAUUUAAUUUUCUUUUUAAAAAAUCAUAUAUUUACAUGCUUUGAGUAGACUUUAAUUUGAUCAAACACAACCAUUUAAUAAAAAGAAAAAACUAGUGCAUAAGAUUUUUUUAAGAGUAUCAAUCAUAAAGUUAAAUAAAAUAAAAUAUAUAUGUUAUGGAAAUUAAAUAUAAAUAAAUAUUUGGUACAUAAAAUUUAUUAUUGGUAAUUGAAGUCCAUUAUGGUUAGGAGUUUAACGUUUGUCUUUGUCUUCAUCUUCUUCACCUCAGAUAUUAAAAGUUUAAAACCGCUCAUCACCUUAAACUCUCAUUUCUUAUUUUUCUAUAAUAAACAAAUAAAUCUUUAUUUUAUUUGGUUGAUUAUUAUUAUACUUCAAAUUUGAGUUAUUGCACUUCUAAUUUUAGUUAAUCAAUUAUUAAAGUCCCCUUGAUUUAAAAGAAAACGUAAAUUAAAGUAAAGUACUUUCUCAAAACUAUAUAUACACGAUUUUAAAUUUGAAUCUUUUUUAUAUAACAAAAUAAUCUAGACUACUUAUAAAAAAUAUAGCAAAAUUUCUUAGGAUAGAUUUUGAAAAUUUUACUAUAUUUGUAAUUAAUUUUUUUUUUGACUGUUUUUACAAUUAUAUCUAUUUAACUUUUAUCUAGGAAUUUUUUCAAAAAUUAAAAAAAAUUGACAAAACUACUCAAAGACAAUUUAUUUGAAUGGUAUUUUCGACACCUUCCCUUUUAUUUAUUUAUAUUUCUUACCAUUCCUUUCCUAUUUUCUUUUAUUGAGGGUCGUUGAAAAUUAAAACAAAUUAGAAAAUAUAUAUAUAAUAAUAAUAUUGUAGGUGAUCGAUGGUAAAUAAUUGAAAUAUUUGUUACAUUUAUAGAUAUUUUUUAAAAUGAUUCAUUUUGCAAUAUGAAAAACAAACAAUAUUUAUGAACUAAAUUUGUAUAAAAUAAUUAUUAUGGGAUCAAAUCUGUAGCCUAUUAAUAAUUUUUUUGUAAUUUUCUUUUGUUCAUGUUGGUUUCACUUUGGGUAAAGGAGAUCCAAUAAAGCCUAGCCCACUACCUUUAAAUAUAUGACUUUUUUUUCACCUUUUAUUUCCUUAUAUUUUAAUAAUAUUAUUUAUUAUUUUACAAGUUGCAUAUGUGCCUACAACUAAAUCUAAAUGUAUAUGCGUAUAUCAUUUAAUUUCCGUUUAUACAGAACAACCACCAACAAAAUUUAAAUCAAUUAUGAUUGAACUAAGUUAAGUUUGAUAUAAUUCAAAUAUGAUUAUUAUAGUAAUUAAAAGUACCAUUUAUCUCACAAUUUUGUUACUAUAAAUUGUAGAUAAUUUCAUUUUAGAAAAAUACACUCAAUAUUCAUUUUAUUAAUUCAAUCAUAGAAUUUGUUAGGGAAGUUACACUAACAGAUAUAUUUAAAUGGUGUAAAAUUUAUACAUUAAAAAUUUUAGUAUAUAUACUUCCAAUAGUCUAUCUUAUUCUAUAUAUUUUCAAUAAAUAUUUACUCUACUUUCAAUAGCUAUUUUCUUUAAAUUGGUUAAAUAAUAAAAAUAUAAUCUAGAUAAACAUUCAAAAUUUAUAAAUUGACGUUGUUAUUUAUGAGAUGUAUGAUUAAAAUUAGAUUGUUGAAAGUAUACAGGUAUAAAACCAAAAGGGGAGAACGAAAAAAUGAUUUUUUUUAUAAAAAAUUUAUAUAAUAUUGAAAUAAAGAGUGGAAGAUUAACAUAGAUAAAAUCAAUGAAGAUACUAGAUGGUAAUGAAUUUGUGUGUAUGAUUAUAAUAGUUGAAUAUAAUCAAAGUAUGGAUUACAUGUCUUAUUAUAAAUUGUUAUGGUUGAAGCAAAAAGACAAAGAUGUCAACUUUAUGGGCUAAUUUGAAAUGGACUUGUAAUGAAAGAUAUUGUCUUUCUCUAAAUGAUUUACUUCUCACCCUCUCUAUCUACAUUUUUUUUUAUAAUGAAAAUACAUUUACCUUAGUUUAAUGAAACAUUAUAACCAUAAACAAAAGAAAGAAGGUGGGAAUGGAAAAGGGAAAGAGCUCCUCAUAAAGGCCAAAAAGUUUAGGUAAAGUGUUAGGUGGGUGCAAGAAAUUAGUGCAAAUUUGUGGGACAAAUGUUACUUUUUUUAAAGAAAAAAAAUAUCAACUAAUUUCAUUUUGGCUCUUUUUGAUCUAAAACAGUGGGAGAGGUAUUAGAAUCACAAACUUGUGUAACCUAAAAGUAAGAAAAGUGGAGUUUAUAAUUUGGUUUGUUUUAAAUUUUGGUUGGACUAUAUAUUCAAGUUUGUAAGACUUACCCAUUAUGCAUUAUAUGUAAUCUAACUAUCACCUAAAACAUCCUAUUAUCAUUAUAAAAUUUAUGGAUUUUAAUUUUUUUUACUUCAACCUUGUUAUAGAAAAGAUAACUCUAGUGAGUGAAUAAUCUUUUUAUAGUUCAAUAAUAUAUGAUGUUGAAAAAUUGAACUAUCGAUAUUGACAUUUUAAAUUGGAGUUGAUAUGAGAUUUGAUUUAUUUAACGUGAGAUACCACCUGUCACCUACUUAUUUUUUAAAAUGGUAAAGAGAUUUGAUUUAUUUUUUUCUUUCACCUAUAACUUCUAUUUAUUUUUAUUUUUUAUUCUCAUUCUCAUUAUCUAUAUGGUUUUUUACAUUAUUUUUCCUUCUUAUGCUUUUAUAUUAUUCAAGUUUUGUACAAAUUUAGGUACGUUUUACAACUUUUAUCUUUUUAUUUUACAAGUUCUAUACAUUUCAAAAUAUAUUAUGGUUUAUUUUUUGUGUUGCUAAAUUGAAAAUAUACAUGCAUCUCAUAUAUUAUUGAGGGUAAAUUUGUUAGGUUCAUACACUUAUUUCGUUUAGUUAUUUUAAAUAUAUACAAUAUUUAGAUAAAAUAUAAUUAUAAUAAUUAUAGAUAUUCGAUAAGUUACAUCAUAUUAAGAUAUAUAUUUAACGUAUACUUUUUCAUAUAUACACAUGCGUAUUUAAUUAUUUUGCAUAUAUAUACCCCAGGUUAUAUAAUACAUUAUAAUUAAUAUAGUAGUCUAAAUGGUUGAAAAAACCACUGUAAUAAAUUAUUAACAUUUGUAAUAUCUAAGAAAACAAAUUGUAGAAUAUUAUUCUUAAAAUUUUUUGGUAUAUGUUGAAAACAUAAAUAAUAUGAUUUAUAAAUAUACCAAACAAUACAAACAGUAUACUUUUGUUAAUAACAAAGAGACUCAGUCAACGAUAUUUGUAAUAGAACAUGUAUAUUAUGAAAUGUAUUUUGAGACAACAUGAUAAAAGUGAAUAUAAAAGAAUGAAGGUUGGUAAUGUAUAAUUAAUUAUGAAACACAAUUUGAAAUAUAAGAAGAAAUAUUGACAUAUAAUAUAAUGUGUAAAGGAGUUAAAAAAACAAGAUACACAUCUAUUUGUUGAAAAUAAAAUUAAUAACAGAUGAAUAGAAGAACAUGAAUGAAGGUGUGGAACAUAUUGAAACAACCGUGGAAAAAUGUAUUAUCAAUUCACCGCUUAUGUAAAAUAUUCUACAUUUUUAUUUUGAUUUAUAUUAGUUUGAGAACAUAUUGUCCCCCCUCUUCUUUCUUUUGUUUUUGUUUUCUUAUUUCGUAGUUCUUUUAAGUGUAUUAUUGUGUGUAUUUAACUUCCUAUAUUUUUUUUACUAACCAUCCCGAGAAACACAAUAUCAAGAAGAAAUAAAAUUGUAAGUCAUCCUUCCUAUACUUCAUUUUUUCCCUUUUAACUUACGAUAAUUAUAAUUUUUUUUUUUUUGUCAGACGGGUGCCAAAAUAAUUAAAGUAUGCAACAUGCUAAUUAAUUAAUUAACGUAUCACUCACAAUUAACACAGUAUGCCAAAUGGAUAAUUAUUAAAGUAGGAUGUCAAAUAGAUACAAGUAAUUAACACAUAAUGUAAAAUGGAUGCCAAAAGGCAAAUAAUUAAAUGUCAAAUGGGUGCCAAAAUGAUUAAAGUAGGCAACAUGCUAAUUAAUUAACGCAGGAUGUCACGUUAAUAUAGAUGCAUAUAAUUAAAACAGCAGGCAAAUAAUUAUAGCAUGAUACAAGAUGUUAAUUAAUUAAUUAAUACAUGAGAAUAAUUAACACAGAAGUAAUUAACAGAUGCCAAAUAAUGAAUGAGGAUACAAAACACUAAUUAAUGCACCAGCCAGAGCCAAAAAGGGUGCCAAAUAAUUGAAUCAUCAACCAUGAAUUUAAUAAAAAAAAUAAAAAACUUACCAAUAGUUAUGCAUGCUUCCUUCUUGAUCCUCUCAAUCUCUUUCCAAAUCACAAACAAAUAAAAAGAUUUCUCUUUUUGACAUGUGUCUUUUCUAUCAAAUCUCUCAGAAAAAAUCCUCAAAUCACAAACACAUGAACAUAUUUUUUUUACGCGUACCUUGAAAUUUUAAAAAUAAAAAAAAUCCUCCACCAAAAAUCCCUAAAAUUGAAUCUUCUCCAUCUCUUUUUAUAGGGCAAAGUUUAUUUUUUUUAGGUAGUGAAGUAGAGUAAUUUUAGAUAGUGAAGUGGAGGGCAACCGAGAAAGGGGAAAAAUGUGGGAGAGUGGGAGAAGAUGAGAGAUUUGGAGAAAGUGUGAGCG